GACCAAAUUAACACUGGUCAGGAAAAGAGGCGCAGAAAUGGAGAUGGGGAAGGAGCCACUAGUGAGGCAGGAAGACAACCAGGAGAGCAUGGCAUCCUGGAAGCCAAGUAAAGAGAGGAAACAGGGAAAAGGAAAGGUGGACUGUGGGGUCAAGUGCUGUGGGGACUGAGGACUGAUCACUGCGUUGACUACAUGAAGUUGCUGGUGGUCUUCACAACAGUGGGUCGAUGGAGCGGUGGAAGACAAAGUCUUAAUGGAGUUGUUUUAGAAGAGAAAAACAGGAGAGGAAUUGUAGACAGGGAAUACAGACAACUGCUUUGAGGAGUGUUGCUGCAAAGGAGAGCAAAGAAAUGGAUUGUUUUCUUAGAGGAGGAAGCAAAGUUCCGAAAGAGAAGAGAGAAGAGAGGAGGUGUGAAUGCACUAGGCAAGGACAGUCUGAGUGCCUGACUCACCGGAAGUUUCCUAACAUGCAAUUAAAGUGAAACCAGAGUGCGGAUACUGCAGCGGCAACACUGAAUGGGGGAGUAGGAGAGAUGUGGAUUUCCUUAGGCACGUGGUCUUUCCAAACCAUGGAUUGAGAGAGGCAGAGAAGGCUGUGAGCAAGCCCAGCGCUGGACGACUACUUCCUCUGGAGGUGACCUGUUCUUUCUGCCUGGAACCUGUGAGAUUUUCUCAUCAUCCUUGAGGUUCAGGAAUUUCACCAGGUGAAAGAUUCUAGGUUGGCGCAAGGAGAAAUGCCAUGUGUCUCAGCUAUGCCAAGAAAUGAGACUGGAGUAGGCCAGAGCACCUGCCUGAGGAUCCAUCCAGGAAAGAGAACAGGGCAUCUGUAUUAGUCAGAGUUCUCCAGAGAAACAGAACCAAUAAGCGAGAGAGCAAGAUUAUGAAGAAUUGGCUUGUGUAGUUAUAGAGGCUGGCAAGUCCAAAAUCUG
rnacentral:lncRNA from 1 species